CCUACGGGUGGCAGCAGUGGGGAAUAUUGGACAAUGGGCGAAAGCCUGAUCCAGCCAUGCCGCGUGUGUGAAGAAGGCCUUCGGGUUGUAAAGCACUUUCAGUGGGGAAGAAAGCCUUGGGGCUAAUACCCUCGAGGAAGGACAUCACCCACAGAAGAAGCACCGGCUAACUCCGUGCCAGCAGCCGCGGUAAUACGGAGGGUGCGAGCGUUAAUCGGAAUUACUGGGCGUAAAGCGCGCGUAGGCGGUCUGAUAAGCCGGUUGUGAAAGCCCCGGGCUCAACCUGGGAACGGCAUCCGGAACUGUCAGGCUAGAGUGUAGGAGAGGAAGGUAGAAUUCCCGGUGUAGCGGUGAAAUGCGUAGAGAUCGGGAGGAAUACCAGUGGCGAAGGCGGCCUUCUGGACUGACACUGACGCUGAGGUGCGAAAGCGUGGGUAGCAAACAGGAUUAGAUACCCCGGUAGUC
rnacentral:rRNA from 1 species